rnacentral:rRNA from 1 species
AGUGAAGCGGCAACAGCUCAAAUUUGAAAUCUGGCCCCCAGGGUCCGAGUUGUAAUUUGCAGAGGAUGCUUUUGGCGAGGUGCCUUCCGAGUUCCCUGGAACGGGACGCCAUAGAGGGUGAGAGCCCCGUCUGGUUGGACACCGAGCCUCUGUAAAGCUCCUUCGACGAGUCGAGUAGUUUGGGAAUGCUGCUCUAAAUGGGAGGUAUAUGUCUUCUAAAGCUAAAUAUUGGCCAGAGACCGAUAGCGCACAAGUAGAGUGAUCGAAAGAUGAAAAGCACUUUGAAAAGAGGGUUAAAUAGUACGUGAAAUUGUUGAAAGGGAAGCGCUUAUGACCAGACUUGGGCCCGGUGAAUCAUCCAGCGUUCUCGCUGGUGCACUUUGCCGGGCUCAGGCCAGCAUCAGUUUGCCUUGGGGGAUAAAGGCUCUGGGAAUGUGGCUCCUCCGGGAGUGUUAUAGCCCACCGCACAAUACCCUGGGGCGGACUGAGGUUCGCGCAUUUAUGCAAGGAUGCUGGCGUAAUGGUCAUCAGCGACCCGUCUUGAAACACGGACCAAGGAGUCGUCUUCGUAUGCGAGUGUUCGGGUGUCAAACCCCUACGCGUAAUGAAAGUGAACGCAGGUGAGAGCUUCGGCGCAUCAUCGACCGAUCCUGAUGUUCUCGGAUGGAUUUGAGUAAGAGCAUACGGGGCCGGACCCGAAAGAAGGUGAACUAUGCCUGUAUAGGGUGAAGCCAGAGGAAACUCUGGUGGAGGCUCGCAGCGGUUCUGACGUGCAAUCGAUCGUC